rnacentral:lncRNA from 1 species
AAGAGUGAUUGUGUCUGGAAUGUGGGAUGCAGGGGCAGGCAGCCUGGCUCCUGCAGACCCCCUCUCCUCCUUGCCUCUGGCUGGUUCAUACAUCAGAUGCUUCCCACCAUCCAGGGGAACUGAGCCCAUCCAUGUGUGAUUAAUACAUUGAACUUCCCUGCUGCCCAGAGAGACACCAGAAUCAGGAUCCCAGGAUGAGUCUAAGUGAUAAGAAUACACUCAACCAAAUGCUAUAUCAACCAUAUCAACAGCAAAAUGAUGACACAUCACCAGAUUGACUGAAUUGGCAAGAAGUCUCAGUGCCAUUGAGAGAUCUUGGUAAGUGAGUGUUCUUAUAACAAAAAGUCCCAAUGGACUCUCUGUUCUUCACUCCCC